rnacentral:rRNA from 1 species
CCUACGGGAGGCAGCAGUAGGGAAUCUUCCACAAUGGACGAAAGUCUGAUGGAGCACCGCCGCGUGAGUGAAGAAGGGUUUCGGCUCGUAAAGCUCUGUUGGUAGUGAAGAAAGAUAGAGGUAGUAACUGGCCUUUAUUUGACGGUAAUUACUUAGAAAGUCACGGCUAACUACGUGCCAGCAGCCGCGGUAAUACGUAGGUGGCAAGCGUUGUCCGGAUUUAUUGGGCGUAAAGCGAGUGCAGGCGGUUCAAUAAGUCUGAUGUGAAAGCCUUCGGCUCAACCGGAGAAUUGCAUCAGAAACUGUUGGACUUGAGUGCAGAAGAGGAGAGUGGAACUCCAUGUGUAGCGGUGGAAUGCGUAGAUAUAUGGAAGAACACCAGUGGCGAAGGCGGCUCUCUGGUCUGCAACUGACGCUGAGGCUCGAAAGCAUGGGUAGCGAACAGGAGUAGAUACCCGAGUAGUC